GACGAACGCUGGCGGCGUGCUUAACACAUGCAAGUCGAACGGAAAGGCCCUGCUUUUGUGGGGUGCUCGAGUGGCGAACGGGUGAGUAACACGUGAGUAACCUGCCCUUGACUUUGGGAUAACUUCAGGAAACUGGGGCUAAUACCGGAUAGGAGCUCCUGCUGCAUGGUGGGGGUUGGAAAGUUUCGGCGGUUGGGGAUGGACUCGCGGCUUAUCAGCUUGUUGGUGGGGUAGUGGCUUACCAAGGCUUUGACGGGUAGCCGGCCUGAGAGGGUGACCGGCCACAAUGGGACUGAGAGACGGCCCAGACUCCUACGGGAGGCAGCAGUGGGGAAUAUUGCAGAAUGGGCGGAAGCCUGAUGCAGCGACGCCGCGUGCGGGAUGACGGCCUUCGGGUUGUAAACCGCUUUCGCCUGUGACGAAGCGUGAGUGACGGUAAUGGGUAAAGAAGCACCGGCUAACUACGUG
rnacentral:rRNA from 1 species